rnacentral:rRNA from 1 species
UGACCCGUUUUGAAACAAGGACCAAGGAGUCUAACAUGUGCGCGAGUCAUUGGGCUCUACGAAACCUAAAGGCGAAAUGAAAGUAAAGGCCGGCUUCGGCUGGCUGAGGGGUGAUGGUCUUGUCCGGCUCAAACCGGAGACCCGCAACCCCGGGGCGUCACGUUCUCGCUGAGAUGUGGCGCACCCAGAGCGCACACGUUGGGACCCGAAAGAUGGUGAACUAUGCUUGGCCAGGGCGAAGUCAGGGGAAACCCUGAUGGAGGCCCGUCGCGAUUCUGACGUGCAAAUCGAUCGUCGGAGCUGAGUAUAGGGGCGAAAGACUAAUCGAACCGUCUAGUAGCUGGUUC